UAUUUUUGAGGAAACCACUUAUUAAUACUUUAGUAUUUCAGGAUUUAACCUCCCUCAAAACUU
rnacentral:tRNA from 1 species